UCCGGUCCCAGGCGCUGCGGGAGCCGCGGCUUACCGUACAGACAUGGCCAAGUCCAAGAACCACACCACACACAAUCAGUCCCGCAAAUGGCACAGAAAUGGCAUCAAGAAACCCCGGUCACAAAGAUACGAGUCUCUAAAGGGGGUUGACCCCAAGUUCCUGAGGAAUAUGCGCUUUGCCAAGAAGCACAACAAGAAAGGCCUGAAGAAGAUGCAGGCCAACAACGCAAAGGCAGUGAGUGCACGCGCAGAGGCUAUCAAGGCCCUGGUGAAGCCUCAGGUCCUCAAGCCCAAGAUGUCAAAGGGUCCCAGCCGCAAACUCAGCCGUCUGGCGUUCAUCGCUCACCCCAAGCUUGGGAAGAAGAUU